GGUGGAGUAUGUGGUUUAAUUAGAUGCAACGCGAAGAACCUCACCUGGCCUUGACAUGUCGAGAACUUUCCAGAGAUGGAUUGGUGCCUUCGGGAACUUGAACACAGGUGCUGCAUGGCGGUCGUCAGUUCGUGUCGUGAGAUGUUGGGUUAAGUCCCGCAACGAGCGCAACCCUUGUCCUUAGUUGCCAGCACGUAAUGGUGGGAACUCUAAGGAGACCGCCGGUGACAAACCGGAGGAAGGUGGGGAUGACGUCAAGUCCUCAUGGCCCUUAUGGGUAGGGCUUCACACGUCAUACAAUGGUCGGAACAGAGGGUCGAUAAGCCGUGAGGUGGAGCCAAUCCCAGAAAACCGAUCGUAGUCCGGAUCGUAGUCUGCAACUCGACUACGUGAAGCUGGAAUCGCCUAGUAAUCGCGGAUCAGCAUGCCGCGGUGAAUACGUUCCCGGGCCUUGUACACACCCGCCCGUCACACCAUGGGAGUGGGUUGCACCCAGAAGUAGCUAGUCUAACCUUCGGGAGGAACGGUCACUCAUCGGUAGGAUUCAUGACUGGGGGAAGUCU
rnacentral:rRNA from 1 species